GCCCGGUUUGCAUAAUUAGUAAUGCGUCCGUUUUGUAAUCGGUUGAUAUGAGUGCAAAUCUCGUACUGGGCU
rnacentral:tRNA from 1 species